GGUAACAGGUCUUCGGACGCUGACGAGUGGCGAACGGGUGAGUAAUACAUCGGAACGUGCCCAGUCGUGGGGGAUAACUACUCGAAAGAGUAGCUAAUACCGCAUACGAUCUGAGGAUGAAAGCGGGGGACCUUCGGGCCUCGCGCGAUUGGAGCGGCCGAUGGCAGAUUAGGUAGUUGGUGGGAUAAAAGCUUACCAAGCCGACGAUCUGUAGCUGGUCUGAGAGGACGACCAGCCACACUGGGACUGAGACACGGCCCAGACUCCUACGGGAGGCAGCAGUGGGGAAUUUUGGACAAUGGGCGAAAGCCUGAUCCAGCAAUGCCGCGUGCAGGAUGAAGGCCUUC
rnacentral:rRNA from 1 species